rnacentral:lncRNA from 10 species
CAUGUCCUCCCAUCUAAGCCUCCGGAGCUUCAAGCUCAUCUGUGGAAGAGAUCUUUAAAUUAAAGGAGUCUACAUAUCCUGUCAUGUGACUAUGCUCAGUAGCCGUAAUAGCAUGAUGGAAGCUGGACAUCAGCAGUGAAGAGGAAAAAUGGAAAAAGAAUCAAAAAGGGAACUGGCUGACGUUCAUGGUGGGGGAGAUGGAAGGAACUGGUAGAAACGAGAAACAAAAAACCCAAGAGAGAUUUCAUUUUUCACUAGGAUGCCAGGUUCUCCCCUUCCAUUCUCUACCUCUUUGCGAUCAAACUGAGCACCCGGGGGUUUCCCAAACCCAGGGUUACCGGAUCCUGAGCAUGCGCGGAGGAGGGACAGGGAGCCGCCCACGCCGGGCUCCGCGGCUGCAGUUGCUGUUGUGGCCACAAGGUGGCACUAAGUCUUUGGCGGCCGCUGGCCUUCCCGACCGUGGAAAGUCGGGGCCGGUGGGGCUAGGUAGGAAGAGCACACUCCUGUGAGGUUGCCGGGGGCGGGGCUCCACCUGGACCCCUGCUCUAGAGCUGCUGGCGCCAUAGGAAGAGAAGAUGUUUGGAGUUCUGCCGUCCUGCCUCUUCUGGAGUCCCGCCGUGGCUUACUCCUUUCAGAGCUUUCUGCCCUGUCCUGACAGUGCCCUCUCUUCCUAGGCCUGAGCUCCAGGUACUCAGCGACCCGAACCUUCCAACCUUCGCACCCUCCCCAGCACACUUUCAGAAUCUCCACGGCUGGGUCCAAAGGGGCCCUCGCUGGGCUGCACGUACUCUGGCCGCCUUAGCUCUAACUCCUGCCUCUCUAGGGCUUUUCCCUCUAACCCCAGAGUGUGGAAAAUCCUCUAUUUUUUCGCACAGAAGGCAUGGUGCUUCCUUCAGGGGGCGAACCCCACUAGUUUACCAGAAAAUGGACCUAGCACCCUCCCUUCUAAAAAAAAUAGGAGGGUAGAUGACCAGAAGCACAGAUGGAAGGGCCAGACUUUGAAAGGAAGGCCCGAUACCUCUAUUGCUGAGGCAGAGCAAAGGGAGAAAAGGCAGAGCAAAAGUGGGUAGAAAUAAAAAUGCUUUUCGAGGGAAGGGAACUUAGCAGGCCUGCGGCCAGUUUUCCUCCCUAUUUUCAUUAUGAGAUAGAUACAAAUGUCAUAUGUGAAAAUGAGAAGGAGAAUAUGAAGGGCAAAGCCCAUGUGUGGUGGUAAAGAGAACUGCAGAAGGAGAGGCCAGGUGGCUGAGCCUUGUACGAGGGCCUAUGUGUUGUUGGAAACCAAUCGUUCACUCAUUUAUGUAUUUGAGAGAUAUUUAUUGAACAUCUGCUGUGUGCUGACAUUGUUUCAAGAGGUGAGAAUACAUCAGUGAACAAAAUAGAAAAAACUCCUUGCCUUUGGGAAAUAUUCCAGUAUUUCCUAAAUACUAGAAGGAGAGGAGGACUGAAGAUUGGGAGGACGCAAGAUUAAUUAGUAAGCAAAAUGAAAUGCUGGAGGGUGAUAUGCUGUGUGGAAAUAGACACAUCAGGAUAGGGGAUAUCAGAAGUUGUGAGGGACUUGUGACUUAGAAUUUAAAUAAGGUGUUCAGGGAAGCUCUCAUUGACCUCAAAGACUUGAAGGAAGCUGGCCACGUUGCUACGGAGGACAAGCAAUCUGGUGGAGAGAACAGCCAGCAUAAAGGCUAUGUAGCAGGAGUGUGGCUGGCAUAUCCAUGUUGCUCCCAGAGUAUAUGGGAUGCUGCAGCAAAAAUAGAUAAAGCAUGAGGUGGUUUGGGUGAGGCUGUGGAAGCAUGGGUGUGGCAGAGGGGUAACCAGGGAAGAAAGUGAAGAAAGUGCUGAUAAUUGUGGUUCAAGGGAGUGAUUCUGUGGUCCAGGAGGGCAGACAGAACUGGGAGGUCCUGACAAGGAAGAAAGGAGGCUGAGUAGGAGUUGUGAGAGUGGGGGAUGCUGUGUAUAAACAUUGGGUGUCUCUGGUAGAAUUUAAGAUGUCAUUGGUGGCAUAGUUCAAAAUGAUGAUAAAGGCAAGAGUGUGGCCUUGCGAGCAAGUGAUUGAAAAUGGGAAGUGGGCUAAUGCAUGGUGCAUACCCCAGUCAACCAUAGCCACAACUGUGCUCUUCUGCAUGGGGGUUCAGCUCCUAUUGAGUAAUAUAGGAAAGGGCUAAGCUGCAAUUUCUCUCCUGCAUUACCAACAAAUGCCCAGUAGAAUUCAGCAUUCUUCCUCAAGCACUUAGGGAUGCAUGAACGCCUGCUAGCAAAUAUUACAGGGCAAACAAAAUUGUACCCACACAUGAUAGGAACCUUACAUUCUCUGCCAGCACACUGAUAUCUCUUAUAAGAGGUGGGUGAUUUGGUUCUCCUCUAAGAUGGUGAAGCCUGUCUGUAUUUCUUUAAAUCUUGGUGAGAGGCAGCAUGGCGGUGUUGAGAUCGAAGCCCAAAGAGGUGUAGCAGAAUUUGAACAACAUGGUUUGUGAGGCAGUAGCCUCCAUUUCUCUUCUAUCAACUCUUGAUUUGAAAGAAGUGUUGUUGGGAGUGGCAAGAUGGA